UCUAAAGUGGACAACAUACUCCAAUAGGUAUCUCUUCUGAUACUAAAGAAUAAAAACACUCACAUCACUUAAAGUCAAGGACUGGUACAAAACAUACCCAGAAUGAGGGUUGAAUUCUCAUUGCCAACUGCAAAUUAAAGACUUCUAAGAGCUAAAGGAUUUUUUGAAGACUACUACACUAUAAUUUCCAGGGUCAGGAGAAGUCAGCUGUGGUCUGCACAGACCAAGGCCUGGAGGCAAUCUACACUAUCUGAACACUUACACCAAAACCUUAACCCAAGAAUAUUCAGGGGAAUAAUAUGCCACUUCUGGAGAAAGCUGCUGCAAUUGCAACACUGAAUAAGGAGCAGAUAUAUCAUUUUUAGCCAGCAUAUCGUAACAUUCCAAGCUGCCUCCUUUCUACCAAGACCUGAACACUAAAUUUCUUUCUGAAUGAGAGAAUGAAUGAACCAGUUGGGGGAUGAUGACAGCACUGUGUCACUGCUGACUUCUAGUUUGGGUGGCUGUCCCAUGGUUCUAUGAGAGAGUGCAUUGUUUUUGAAAAAGUGAAUGCUAGUGUGUUUAGCAUUAAUGGGCACUAUGACCACAUUGUGCUCAAAAGCUCAACAACCCCCCAUAUAGCAAAGAGAAAGAGAAAAUGAUAAACCAAAUGCUGUAUAAUGAGAGCAAAUAAGAAAGUCUUUUGUGUUAUUUUUGCAACUUUUCUGAAAAUAUGAAGUUAUUCCAAAAUGAAAAGUAGAGGAAAUAAAGAGGACAUACUCAAUGUAAAGGGCUUCUGGAUGGUCAAAUUUUGGCCUAUUUAAAAUUCAAAAAUAUAAUAACUGUAAUUGAUUGUAACCUAAUGAAUAAGAAUACAUGAGGCCACAUGAUGCUACAAAGGAAAAGGAAGAAGGGAAGGAAGGAAGAAAGAAGGAAAGAAAAAAGAAAGAAAGAAAGAAAGAAAGAGAGAAAGAAAGAUCAUCACUAUCAGAAGCUAUUACCACCUUCAGAAGCCAAUAUCUAUCUCUGAAAUUUUUUAACAAAAACAUUAAUAACUUACUCUGACUUCAUUUUUAGUGAAAUUAUAAUCAUCACAAAUUGCUAAGGGAGAGAAAACUAUUCAGGGAAAUGACAGCUAAUAUGUGCUGGAGAAAUAAUAAAAUGAAAAUUACCGUUUAACAAUCGCAAAAAAAUAACAAGUUAUUUGAUAUCCAUCACUAUAUCCUAAAAAAAGUAUGUGUAUGUGUGUAAAUCCAUAUAUAGAAAGACAAAACAAAGAUGGUAAAAUGGUAAAGAGAGAAACUCUAUGGCAUGAAUGUAUUACACCUUUAACUUAUUUGUGUGUUUGAAAUUUCCCUAAUAUUUGUGGCAUUCCAUGUCUGGCUGGAGCGUAACAAUCCUAGCCAAGUGACAAUCCAUCCCAUCAGUUGUUUAAAAACCUUUGGAUAUUUAUUAUUUUGCUACCCCUUCAAAAAUAAAAACAUAUACAAUGGAGGGGAUUUUCUACUGGCUGCAGAAUUUAAACAUUCAAUUUCUGAGAGCCAAAAUGUAUUGUACUGCAUGUAUGCAGAAAAGUUCAUGAAUUAAGGAAAAGUGGCACAAGAGGUUCUGGCCUUGAAUCCCCUGGAUGGUAGGAGUACAUGGCACAGAGCAGAGAAUAUAGUUGAUUGAUAUUUUGAACCCAGAAAAUUAAAUAUCCAGCUGCACUUAUAACUUCAGGUGUUUGAGUUGCCAUUAUUCAUAUAUUAAAGGAUGACCAAAUUCUUUGCUAUUCUUAUUAAUAAAUAUUUCAAGAAAAGUCUGAGGAAAUGGUUAAUGCAAGAACCUUUCUUGAGUUCAUGGAUAGUCAUUCUGGUGUUCUCUUCAGCUGUGAGCUAUCUCUGUGGUUCUAAGGGUCAAAGAGAAGGUUCAUGAAUUCAAGCAAACCUUUAAUACAGUCCUCAUAUUGACCAAACAUCUCAUACCUUAUCUUCAAAGAAAUAUCCACUCUUACUAAGCUAUAUAACAAAAAGAUUUCUUAUAGAAAAUAGAAUUAUUUUUGUGUAAACAUGGCAGUAAUUUUUAAAGUUUCUAUUCUUAUUACAAAAUAUAUUUAACAUCAUCAAAACUGUAUCUCAAUAUCUUAAGCAUAUCAUUUCUAAAGAUGAGUUAUACUAAACCAAAUCUGAGAUACAGCUGCACUGUCUUUGUGGCUACACAUCCUAGUCUCCUUGGAGACCCCAGGUCUGCUUCAGUGACAGUAUUUAAGAAACUGAGAUGUGUGGUUUUACCACAUAUAUGCUGAUUCUUGCCUUCUCCACCUUCCAGUCUGCUUGGACAGAAUGCUAUUUUGUGUGAUCCAGUUAAGUUGGUUUGUAAAUUAUCUAGUCAUAAACACAUCUGCACAAAUUAGACAAAUGGCAUAGAUGUCUGUAAAGACAAAACCAAUCCUCCUCAAAAAAAUGCUGUUUGAAGAUAAAAUAGCACAAGCACAAGAAGAUAAAGGAAAAAUUUCUACUCUUCGUAGGUCUUUGACUAUAUUAUAUGGUUAAACUGAUAAUGAUCUCAAACUAAAAAACUCUGAGAAUGCCAAAAAUAAAAGAUGAUCAAGAAUUUUCAGAAGCAUGCCAAACACAAAAAAUGAUCAAAACAUUGAAAAUAUAGUCUUAUAUGCAAUUUCAUUAGCAGCAAACCUCAGCCACAGGACUUAUGGUGCCUCAGAAUAUUACUUGAUGUUAGAACAAAGCAUCACCAUCAGCAAGAUGUACAGAUUAAUCAUCUGAAAUAUUAAG
ensembl:lncRNA